rnacentral:rRNA from 1 species
AUUGAACGCUGGCGGCAUGCCUUACACAUGCAAGUCGAACGGUAACAGGUCUUCGGAUGCUGACGAGUGGCGAACGGGUGAGUAAUACAUCGGAACGUGCCUAGUUGUGGGGGAUAACUACUCGAAAGAGUGGCUAAUACCGAAUGAGAUCUCCGGAUGAAAGCAGGGGAUCGCAAGACCUUGCUCUACAAGAGCGGCCGAUGGCAGAUUAGGUAUUUGGUGGGAAAAAAGCUUACCAAGCCGACGAUAUGUAGCUGGUCUGAGGGGACGAUCAGCCACACUGGGACUGAGAAACGGCCCAGACUCCUACGGAAGGCAGCAGUGGGGAAUUUUGGACAAUGGGCGCAAGCCUGAUCCAGCAAUGCCGCGUGCAGGAUGAAGGCCUUCGGGUUGUAAACUGCUUUUGUACGGAACGAAAAGCCCCGGGUUAAUACCCUGGGGUCAUGACGGUACCGUAAGAAUAAGCACCGGCUAACUACGUGACAGCAGCCGCCGUAA